rnacentral:lncRNA from 1 species
CUCAUAAAAUGCUUGUGGCUUGGUUAAGCUACAUGGCCACUAUGACUGUUUAUAAAGUCCUCGGGGCACUUGUGUUUUGAUCAAGACAAAAGAAAAUACAAAAUAUGUAUUAGGUUUCUAUUGCUGAAUGACAAAUUACUCCAACACUUAGUAUCUUAACUCUUUGUUAUCUCACAUCAUGUCCAAGGAAACAGCUUAGUUCAGGGAAUCUCUCGAGGUUACUGUCAAGAUGUCACUUCGAGCUGCAGUCAUUUGAAGGCUUGACUGGGAUGAAGAAUCUGCCUCCAAAUUCACUUACAUAUCUGUUGGCAGGAGGUUUCAGUUGUUCAAUACCCGAGCUAAUGACAUGACAGCUGGCUUUCCUCCAAGUGAAUGAUCUGAGAGGGAGAGAAACCAAGAGGGAAGCUGCGACCAACCUUGAUACAAAGUGUGAGGGAACUCCAUGGGGUGUAGGUACCAGGAGGCAAAGGGAUCAUAGCAGCUCACUUUGGAGGCCGGCUACCUCAAUGUGCUUUUAAGUGUUUCCAUUUGGUGCUAUCAGUUAAAACCAUUAAUUAAAAGAAGUUUUGUAUCUCCUCCAAAUCUCUCUUGUCUUACCUAUAGAAUGAGAAUAACACUUAUACAGCACCUGCCUACCUCAUACAGUCAGAUGAGCGGAGCUGCAAGCAUGCAAGUUAAAGGCGAAACAAGGUAAAGAACAGUAGCAUCACAAUAGCGCUGCCAUCUUGGGGUAAAAGCAAGCUGUUGAUGGCAGAAAGCCACGGUCAUCUAGUGAAGACUGCUCAUCUAGUGAAACUUCAAGGAGUGCAUGAAAGCCAGGAAUUUCAAUAGGGCAGAGGUUUGUGGAAGAUGCAGUUAUGGUGGAAUCUGUAGCAGAUCACGAUCAGGCUGUGUGCAGCAGAAAAGAAAAAACUGGGGAUCCAAUGACCUCUCCAUAUAGCAGUGUGAGGCCAAGGGGGCCCAUCCACAGAGCCAGACCUGGAUGAUGGUUUAAAAGCCUAAGCCAUCAAACAUAAGUAAUCUCCAGUUGUACUUCAAAGAGUUCCAGGAAGCUGCCGUGCCAUUGUAUACCAUCCCCUGCUUCUCAAAAACAGUGCGCAUAGGGUCCCCUGGCAGGAUUGUUACAGUGUGGAUUCUGAGUCAAUAGAUCUGCAGUGGGCUGGAGAUUCUUCAUUUCUAGCAAAUGCUCAGGUUAUGUCACUGCUACUGGCCUGCAGAUCAAAUUGAGGAGCCAGGUUAUAUACCCGUUGAUACUAGGAUCAGUCGGGACAUUGCUAUAGGGUCUAGAGGCCAGGAGCCACCUGGGAACAUCACUUAAAGUUUCAGGAUUGUUUCUCUUCACCCUGGCUGCCAGCUACCCCUCAGCUAAUAUGCUGGAUAAACAAACCCAUGUAGAUGAGAAACCAAUUCUUCAAUCUUUAUAAAACAGGUUUUGAAAAGUAGAAAAAAGUCAAAAGACUAAUCCUAUACAAAUAAAAUCUGGUUUCAGAAUAAAAUGCUUCCUCAUACAGGGUAAAUAGCUCCUUCAAGGCUAAAUGGUUCCCUAAAUUGAACUUCCUUUUUUUAAUCUCGCAUGUCCCUUCUGUCAUUGAAACUGCUUUGCCUCAAGGGAGUAUUUGAUUUCUUAAAAGUGCGUCACAUUUUAUGAUUCUUGAUUCAAUCUGCAGUUAAGCUAAAUGCUUAAAAGUGCCAUAAAUAUUUAAGUAAGACCCUCCAAUUUCGUAUGUACACAGAAGUCAAGUAUUUGAGUUGUUAAUAGUAAUCAAUUCUGGGUAGGUACGAUGAUGACAGAAAAUCAAAUCUUUUUUGAAUACUUCUAUGCAUUCUGAAUUCUCUAUGAGUGUGGUAUUUUCAUAUAAACAACCACAUAGUUACUGUAUAUGCAACUAAUUCUUCUGUUCAAUCCACACAGCCAUCCUCAGACUGUAUCACCUCCUGAGGUUCAGAAAUUUAAGCAUUAUUGUUUAAUUUCUACCAUGCGUCAGACACUGUAUUAGGAACUGAAAGUAUGUAUGUGUAUGCACACACACACACACACACACACACACACAGUCCCUAUUCUCAAAGAAUGUCUAGUUCAGUCAGUGCUGUAAGUCUCAGGGGGUAGGGAAAACACAAGACAAUUCUGAUAUUAUUCCAGCAACCAAGGGAAAUCUUGAAGAAAGAAUCCGAGUUUGCUAACCAGAAAAGCAAGGAGAGGACACUCCAGGCUGAAGGAAGGGCAUAAAGACACCUUCACUGACUAAUUUUUCAGCAAGUCUGAUUUUAAAGCACAUUAGCCUCAUUAACUGGUUAGUCCAUGUCGAAUCUCUAAGAGUUCUCUCUGUGAACAGUAAAUUUGGUUGAUUAGACUUUGAUGUUAAUGAGAGCCUCGUGCUAAUUUGAUGGCUUGCCAAAAGAAUGUGCACAGAGAAACCAGGAUGAAGAACCCUAAAAGACUAUAAUCCCAGCCCAUAAGGGCAUUCUGAGACAGGCAGUCCCAGGAAUUUACUUCCCACUGCUCUUUAUUUCCCAAAGAGCCGGGUUUUUGAGGACGUCUUUAGGAAAGCCAUUUUUCCAGCAGCCUCCCCAUCCGCAAACAUGCACAGGCACACAGUCUCCCCAUCACCACUAACAGCACCCAACGUAUGCACAGGACACUUAACUUCAUGGAAACCAGUAGGAAGAAAAUAAACUAGGCAACACAAACUAACUCCACUCCCAAAGGGGAAAAAACAACUCAAAAUUAUGCCCCUUGAAAUAUCAGUAGAGUAGCCUUGGUUAUCCCUUCAAUUAUUCAUGCAUUUAACACCUACCAGGUGCAGGUGCUAAGGACUUAAAGCUGACUGAGAUAUGGUAUUCUCCUUCAGGAAGCUGCAAAUCAGACCCUGGCACAGUAAGUGCUGUGACAGAUAAAUGGAGAUGGACAAUGUGUUAGGGGCACAGGUGGAGAGCCUCUAAGUCAGCCUGUGAGGAGUUGUCCUGGAAGGUCGCCUAGUUUCCUGGGAAACUGCAGAGGACCACAAAUUUCUCAGUAUGGCUAGAGCCAGGGGUGAGUGUGCAGGGGUGGUGGACAAUAAAGCUGAAAAUAGAGAAAAAAAUGGGAUCACCAAAGCCUUAGAUACUAAAUGAAAGAGUUUGAAUUUUCCCCUUGAAAGCUGUGGGGAGCUAUUGAAGGAUUUUAAGCAAGGAAAUGGCAUAUGAUUAAAAAGAUCAAUAUCACAGCAGCAUGGACAGAUUGAAGGGAAAAGACACUGGGAACAGGAAAUGCAGUUAGGGGGCUACUGAAGGAUCCAGAGGUGUUUACUCAGGGCAGAUUAAGGGAGCUGUGUGAGCAAAGUGGAAGGGAAGACUUUAAGAGAUAGUAAGGAACAAGAGCCUCACAACACAGAGUGUCACCAAAGAAAUCUACCCUGGCUCCAGGUUCUGAGGCACUUGGUGAAUAGAGAGAAAAAACACAUGGAAAGUGUUAAUCUCAGCAGUUUUCAGUUGGAGUGAAAAGAGGAAAGGCUCAUUCAUAGAGGAGACUGAAGAUGUAAGGCAGUUUGUUACUGAUGGGCCAUGAGUUCUGUAGGCCACAAUGGAAACUUCUGGAAGGUCAGGUGGGCAGCAUGGAGCAGGUGUAAAGAGAUGUAUAGCAGCUUGGAAAUAAGCUUUCAGGUAAAUACAGGUUAUCUGGAAGGCCUAAACAGGGUUGUGGGGUUGAUGUGGGCAAUCGCAGAUGUUUGAAAGAUAUGCUGUAUCUGUUUUAGCCAAACUUACUUGACCGUGAAGUGUUUUUUAAACUAU